rnacentral:lncRNA from 10 species
GGCAGUCCUCACAGCCCUCGCUCACUCUCGGCACCUCCUCUGCCUGGGAUCCCACUUUGGCAGCACUUGAGGAGUGCUUCAGCCCACCGCUGCACUGUGGGAGCCCCUUUCUGGGCUGGCCAAGGCUGGAGCUGGAUCCCUCAGCUUGCAGGGAGGUGUGGAGGGAGAGGCGCGAGCGGGAACCGGGGCUGCAUACAGUGCUUGCGGGCCAGCUGGAGUUCCAGGUAGUCAUGGGCUUGGCGGGCCCUGCACUCAGAGCAGUCAGCCAGCCCUGCUGGCCCCAGGCAAUGAGAGGCUUAGCACCCAGGCCAACAGCUGCAGAGGGUGUACUAGGUCCCCCAGCAGUGCCAGCCCACUGGCGCUGUGCUCGAUUUCUCACCAGGCCUUAGCUGCCUUCCUGCAGGGCAGGGCUCAGGACCUGCAGCCUACCAUGCCUGAGCCUCCCACCCACUCCAUGGGCUCCUGUGUGGCCAGAGCCUCCCUGAUGAGUGCCGCCCCCUGCUCCAUGGUGCCCAGUCCCAUCUACCACCCAAGAGUUGAGGAGUGCAGGCGCACAGCACGGGACUGGCAGGCAGCUCCACCUGCAACCCCAGUGCAAGAUCCACUGGGUGAAGCCAGCUAGGCUCCUGAGUCUGGUGGGGACAUGGAGAACCUUUAUGUCUAGCCCAGGGAUUGUAAAUACACCAAUCAGCACUCUGUAUCUAGCUCAAGGUUUGUAAAUACACCAAUCAGUACCCUGUGUCUAGCUCAGGGUUUGUGAAUGCACCAAUUGACACUGUAUCUGGCUAUUCUGGUGGGGCCUUGGAGAACCUUUAUGUCGACACUCUGUAUCUAGCUAAUCUAGUAAGGACAUGGAGAACUUUUGUGUCUAGCUCAGGGAUUGUAAACGCACCAAUCAGCGCCCUGUCAAAACAGACCACUCAGCUCUACCAAUCAGCAGGAUGUAGGUGGGGCCAGAUAAGAGAAUAAAAGCAGGCUGCCCAAGCCAGCAGUGGCAACCCAUUCAGGUCCCCUUCCACACUGUGGAAGCUUUGUUCUUUUGCUCUUUGCAAUAAAUCUUGCUACUGCUCACUCUUUGGGUCCACACUGCCUUUAUGAGCUGUAACACUCACAGUGAAAGUCUGCAGCUUCACUCCUGAAGCCAGUGAGACCACAAGCCCACCAGGAAGAAUGAACAACUCCAGACGCACCACCUUAAGAGCUGUAACACUCACCGCAAAGGCCUGCAGCUUCACUCCUGAGCCAGCGAGACCAUGAACCCACCAGAAGGAAGAAACUCUGAACACAUCUGAACAUCAGAAAGAACAAACUCCGGACACACCACCUUUAAGAACUGUAACACUCACCGCAAAGGUCUGCGGCUUCAUUCUUGAAGUCAAUGAGACCAAGAACCCACCAAUUCUGGACACAUUUUGGCGACCACGAAGGGACUUUCACCUAUUGCCAAGCGGUGAGACAAUCGCCGAGCAGUGAGACCAUCGCCUAUUGCCGAGCAGUGAGACAAUCGCCUAUCGCCAAGCAGUCCAUACUGCCUUUAUGAGCUGUAACACUCACCGUGAAAGUCUGCAGCUUUACUCCUGAAGCCAGCAAGAUGUAACACUCACCACAAAGGCAUGUAGCUUCACUCCUGAGCCAGCAAGACCACGAACCCACCAGAAAGAAGAAACUCUGAACACAUCUGAACAUCAGAAAGAACAAACUCCAGACAUACCACCUUUAAGAACUGUAAGACUCACUGCGAAGGUCUGCGGCUUCAUUCUUGAAGUCAGUGAGACCAAGAACCCACCAAUUCCAGACACAGUAUUUUUUUUUUAAGUUUUUACCUUCUAUUUUGUGACAUCUAUACACAACUUUAAGGAGUAAUUAUAUCGAAAGUAUACCUGUACCCCAUUUUUAUUGCAGCACUAAAUUGACAAUAACAAAGAUAUGGAAUCAACCUAAGUGUCCAUUAACAAAUGAGUGGGUAAAGAAAAUGUGUAUGUACACAAUAGAGUAUCAUUCAGUCAUAAAAAGAAUAAAAAUCUUCCAUUUGCAGCGACAUGAAUGGAAUUAAAGGUCUUUAUGGUCAGUGAGAUAAGCCAGGCCAGAAAGACAAAGAUUGCAUGUUUUCACUCAUAUGGGAGCUAGAAAAGUUGAACUCAUGGAGGUAGAGAAGGUAGAUGGUUGUUUUUUGUUGUUUUUUUAACUGUUGAGUUGUUUGAAUUUCUUCUAUAUUCUGGAUAUUAGUCCCUUGUUUGCAAAUAUUUUUUCCAUUCUAAAGAUUUUUUUCUUCACUCUGUUGAUUGUUUCUUUUGCUGUAGAGAAUAUUUUUUGUUUAAUAUAGUCUAGUUUGUGCCACUUGUCUGUCUUUCCUUUUGUUGUUUUGUGUUUUUGAAGUUUUAGCAAUAAAAUCCUUGCCUAGAGCAAUAUCCUGAAGCAUUUCCUCUACAUUUCCUUGAAGAUGUUUUAUAGCUUUGGGUCUUAUAUUUAAGUCUUUAAUACAUUUUGUGUUGAUUUUUGUAUAUGGUAAGAAAAUUGGGUCUAGUUUUAUUCUUCUGUGUAUGGGACAUCCAGUUUCACCAUUAUUUCACCAUUACCAUUUAUUGAAGGGUGCCAUAUCCACAGUGUAUGUUCUUGGCACCUUUGUCAAAAAUCAGUUGGCUGUAACUAUGUGGGUUUAUUUCUAGAUUCUCUAUUCUGUUCCAUUGGCCUAUGUGUCUGUUUUUUAUAAUAAUACCAUCCUGUUUUGACUACUAUAGCUUUGUAUUAUAAUUUGAAGUCAAGUAGUGUGGUGCCUCAGCUCUGUUCUUUUCACUCAAGAUUGCUUUGGUUUUGUGGUGCCUUUAGCAGUGCCACAGGAAUUUUAGAAUUUUUUCUCUAUCUAUCUCUCUGAAGAAUGUUAUUUAGGGAUUACAUUGGAUCUGUAGAUUGAAUUGGAUAGUAAUGUCAUAGUAACAGUAUUAAGCCUUGGGAUGUAUUUCCAUUUGUGUCCUCUUCAUUUCUUUUGUGGUUUUCUUUGAAGAGGUCUUUACCUCCAUGGUUACAUUUAUUUCUAGGGUAGUUAUC